CAGAGGAGCCCUGAGUGUGGCCCUGAUGACAAGCAGCAGGGAAACCAGGACUUCAGUCCUACAACCCCAAGGAGAUGGAUUCUUCCAACAACCUGAAUGAGCUUGGAAGCCCCCAGAUAAGAGCCCAGCCAGCCAAUACUUUCAUGUCAGCAGCGUAAAACCUAAGUGAACAGCUCAGCUAAGUCCACCCAGACUUCUGACCUACAGAACUAGAAAUAAUAAGUGGGUGUUGUUUUAAUUGACUGAGUGUGGGGUAAUCUGUUCUGCAGCAGUGUACUGACAAUACAGCACAAAUGCACAUGCAUGUGCACAUGAUCUGUGGCUGCUUUCACGCUACACCAGAGAGUUGGGUCGUUGCAGUGGAGACCUUAUGGCCCAUGAGCCUAAAAUAUUUAUUACUGAGUCUUUGAGAGAAAAGGUUUGACAAACUUGUUCUCUAACCAUAGAAGUAAUCUCAUAUCAGAUGUAUUUUGUGAAGGUUUUGUGCCUUACCCAAGGCUUGCAAGAAACAGGACUUACACCCAGGCACACUCAGCAAACAUUGCUUCUGUCAAGCUGAAUUAGCUCCAAAAAAUUAGUAGGCACCAGGCUGACUGCAGACCUACUCUCCAUUCCAAUUUUUAAAAUGUUAGGGGGAGAAAGAGUGUGUGUGUGUAUUUAUAUUGUUGAGCAGGGAUAAAAAUAUCAGAGGAAUAUGUACCAUAUGUAUUUUAGAGGUUGUCAUUUCUAUAUUAUGAAUUUCAAUAAUAGUUGAAUUUCGUGUCAUGAAUUUGUGUUAGUAAUUAUUACCUUAUUAUUUUUAAAGGCUAUUCUGUGCUCCAUGUGUGCUCCUUGGUGCAGUGGCCUAGAGAAGAGAAGUGGCAACAAUGGGCAAAACCUUGAAGAAAGUUAAUGAGCUUAAGACAGCAAAAGUGGAAAAAAAAAUCUCUCUAGGUGUUUAAUAUUUGAAGCUGGUAAAAUCUUUAGACUGUAACGCAAAGGCUAUGAAGAAGUAUUGUACCACCCACAGGGUGCCUCAGGCUCCCUCUCCCCUCUCGCUUCCACAUGCCUGUCACAUUCUAUUUUCAGGGAAUCUUUCAUUCAUUCUUUCAGUGCCUAUUUAUUUGGCACCUGCUAUGGUACUAGGCAGUGUGCUACGUGCUAGAGGUACAAACAGAUGAAAUAC
rnacentral:lncRNA from 10 species